AUUCUAAUCUUACACAUAAGUUUCUGAAGCUAUAUAAAGUCACCAGAUAGUAAGCUGAGUGAAUGUAGAAACACGUCAUGGUACUGAAGGGCUUAAAUGCAAAACACUCAACGUACGAAGAUAACUGGAACUUGAAUCAAACAAUAUAGAGGAAAAAAAUACAGAAUAAGGAAAAAAAACAAGAUAUUUUGUCCUUUAGCGGUGGUGUGUUGAGGCGCGGCGCUCCCUCCAUCCCUCCAGACAGACGCCCGGUACAAGAGUGGAGGUGCUGGCUGGCUUGGUUGACCUGCUUCCCUCGCCUCCCAUCCCUCCCCGCCUCUCGUUCAGCGCCACCAAACACUUCAGGACACGACGGGCUGCGGGAAUCCUCUAGCUUUGCAUGUGAGUGUUACUGAGUUGCCUUCCUCCACUAUUGUCUCCCCCGAGGUGGCGUUGUCUACGAUCUCAGGCGGCACCACGACCUCCAGACUAGAAGAACGUUACUCUAUUACCAAAGGACACAGACAACAACAGACACCACCACCACCACCACCACCACCACCACCACCGCCACGCUCUACUGGAAAGGGAAACAGGAGUGACUAUUGUGUUUUGUCUUUGAGAGGCGGAAAAAAAAAAUUGAAAAAGUAAAAUAAAUAAAUAAAAAAAAAAUAAAUCAAUAAAAUAAUAAAUGAAAGAAAAACGAACAAACAGCAAAUAAGGAAACUGUUACUGUUGUGUUUUGUCUUUGAGAGGAGAAAAAAAAAUAGAAAAAAUAAAUAAAGUGAAUAAAUAAAUGAAACAAGUAAAUAAACAAAUAGAUAAACGAAAGAA